UACGGGGGGGGCGAGCGUUUUUCGGAAUUACUGGGCGUAAAGGGCGCGUAGGCGGGCGGGUAAGUCUCUCGUGAAAGCCCACGGCUCAACCGUGGAAUUGCGGGAGAUACUACUUGUCUUGAGUCCGGGAGAGGAGUGUGGAAUUCCCAGUGUAGCGGUGAAAUGCGUAGAUAUUGGGAGGAACACCGGUGGCGAAGGCGGCACUCUGGACCGGAACUGACGCUGAGGCGCGAAAGCUAGGGGAGCGAAAGGG
rnacentral:rRNA from 1 species